rnacentral:rRNA from 1 species
ACGGGGCGCAGCAGGCGCGAAACCUCCGCAAUGUGAGAAAUCGCGACGGGGGGAUCCCAAGUGCCAUUCUUAACGGGAUGGCUUUUCAUUAGUGUAAAGAGCUUUUGGAAUAAGAGCUGGGCAAGACCGGUGCCAGCCGCCGCGGUAAU